AGGUCGUAGUAAAACAAAAGAUUUAGUUCACAUUUGUAGGAUGAAACCAUAUUUAAACCCAGAGGACCAGGAGGACCACCUAGAAUAGGACCCAGAAGAUGACUCGACAAACUUCCAGGAAGAAGACAUCCCCACUGAACGAACACAACAACCACAGACCCGUGUAGAGAUCUCAGGCCCUAUCACCCGUUCACGAGCCUUGAGACUGAGGAUGUAAGUCUCCUUCUGAGCAUCGGGUCGAUGCUCUUUAUAGGAGGAGGCUAUGUGACGAAGAAAUAAUUUAUUAAUUAAAUUAUUCAAUGAAACUAUUCAACAGAGUAUAUAAAUAUAUAUUAAUCUUUUAUGUAAAAUAAUUAUCAAAAUAUCUCUUUGCUUGCUUGCUCAAGAUUCUCUAGCUGUAAGUAGUUUUUGCUGACUUGUUAAUAAUUGUCGACUUGUCGCCGUGACGUCAUCAAUAAAUACUUUUACAUCUUAGGAUAUUUCAAGGCUUGAUUUCUACGCUACAAUAUAUAUAAAUGAUAUUUAUUCCCUCAGAUAGCCCACGCUGUCAACAACUUCCAGUUGCACAAUAAGAAGAUGCCUUUAUCUUAAUUUAUCCACCUUAUCCCAGUACAAUAUCUCAUUUGUUAUAUAUUUUUACUAAUGGCAAGUGUAAUUUUUGAUGUCAUAAAAGUAUUGCUUAGAAAAAUAAUUAAUUCUAUUUUUUUUUUAAAUAUUUAAAUGGCUAUAUAUAUGUGUGUGUGUCUUUAUUGAUUCUAACAUAUAUAAUUUUUUUUUCAGGAUUAAAGUCACUCCUUUUUCCUCUGUGAAUAUUAUAUAUAAUAAUAAAAAUAAUUCUGCAUCCAUAUGUCAAUAAGUAGUAUUUUUGAAAAUGUCUUUGGUGCAAAUAUUAUAAAUACAAAAUAUCAAGUGCAGCAUAAUUCGUUUAUUUUCCUCUUUUGGAUAUUGUGGAGGGUGACUAAACUAAUCAAAACCUAGAAAGUGAUAGCCUUCUUGAAAAGCAUUCAUUUGUAGAAAAAGAAGAAGUAAAUUUUCUACAAGUGUGACUUUUUUGAUGGCAUAGUUAAAAGGAAAUUCAAUCUACAUACAUUUGGUCACUCAAGCAUGGAAAAUGACCUUUUAAUGUGACUUGUGACUACAAAUCAAGAAUCAAAUAUACACCAGUAAACAUUUGAUGACUCAUACUGGUGAAACAGAUCAAGAAACAAAUGCAGCCUUAAUCAACAUUUGCUCACACACACACCAAGAAAAGUCAUUUAAAUAUAUGUUUUAUAAAUAUAAAGCAAUUAAGAAAUGUAUGCUGAAAAGACAUCCGAUUAAAUACUGGCGAAAGGGCCUUUUAAAUGUGAACAUUGUGAAUUUGAGUAGACAUAACAGCUCCCUCAAAAAGCAUUCAUAACUUUACAUAGGUAAGAUGUACAUUAAUGGCAUGCAUGCUGCAUAUUUAUCAAAAAUUUAAAUGAGAACAUCUUUAUUUUGCAACCAUAUACAAUAAAACCCUGAUAAGACAAAACCAGGAUAUAAUGAACCUUCCUUUCUAAAGAACCCAAUGUAAAUCCGAAUUCCAUUAAAAAUACCAUUGUUAUAACGAACAUUGUGUUUUUCAAAAUAGCAAACUAUAAAUAAAACAAAAUCAAUUUAGGUCCCAAAAUAUUAAAUUCUAUGUAAAAUACCAUGCCUAUAACUAACUUUGAAUUUUAAUUCAAUCAAUUUUUGAAACUAAUUAAUAUUUUUGUGCGAGCUCUAGGUUACAGAUCACAAUUUAAAACAAUGAAUUUAGGGACAUUGGUGUUUUCAUUUAUGAUCCAUUUUUUACUGCCUACAUGCUUUUAUAAAUUUUAUACCUUAUUGAAAACUAAAUUUCUUUACAUUCGUAAAAUUCCUUUGAAAAUGGACAAAUUAUUGACACCGGUUUCAAAAUAUAAUAGAAGUUCCAAAGAAAAAGUCACUCGUAACAAUAUUCACUUGAAAAGAAAAUAGCCAUCAUACAAACCAUGUAUUGAUACAUGAAAGUGGUACAUCACAAGCAGAAUUUUGGAAGAAAAUGAGAAAAAGUAGCAAUUCUGCGAAAUGGGGCCAAAAAGAAGUUGGCCGCGAACAUCAGUGUCAUUAUCUUCUUUUAGAAGCUUGUAUAAAUGGCUUGUACAAGCUAGGCUAAAAAAUAUCCCACUAAAUAAGCCACAUUUUACAACAAGAGGCCAUUCUUCUAUACCAUGGGUAUGAACUAUGAUGAUUUUGAAGCCCGUAAUGGGUGCUUUAAUAUAAUUAAGGCCAGAAAAUAAAUAUUAUUUUUUUAAAAUUUGCAGAGAGGAAAGGGCAAUGAACCUUUUGGUGGUGGAAGAUGGAGAAAAAAAAAAACCUACUUUUUUGGACAAGUAUUCUCCCUCCAAUAAUUUAUAAUCUUGAUGAGUCAAAGGAUUAUUUUAUAGGAUUUGCCUGACAAGACACUCACCUUCAAAGGCAACAUUUUUCUGGAACAGAGGCCAAACGAGAGAAUUACCUUUUUGGCUGGAGCUGAUAUGGAUUGCUUAGAAAGCAAAAAAAAUCUCUCCACCCAUUAUGAAGCAAAUAAAAUAGCUUGAAUGACAGUCUUAAUUUUCAAAAAAUAUCUUCAUUAUUUAGAUAAGUAUUUUGCCAGUGAAAAUAGAUAGGUGGUUCUAAUUCUAGACAAUUAUUCAGCACACAUCCCUGAAAAAUUGAAAAAUAUUCAGGUAUUAUAUUCCGCCCCAAUGCCACAGCCAAGAUGCACCCUAUGAAUAUGGGAAUAAUUCAUGAUAUUAAAAGGAGAUAUAGGAUCAGGUUAAUCAAUAGAUGCCUUAUAGACAUGGAAAAAAAAACAGAGAGACCAAUAUUACAUUGCUUGAUUCAAUAGAAUGGUUGAAUAUGUCAUGGGACUCUGAUCCUAAAUCAACCAUUGUAAGUUGCUCUUCUAUGUCUGGGUUCGGAAACCUUCAAGAUGAAAUUGCCCCACAAGAUUCUUUAAAUUUAUUAAACCUUGAAGGAAUAUCAAAAGCAUCCAAAAAAUUUGAGCAAUAUAUUCGUGUUAAUGAGAAUGAACAGUUUAAAUCAGAAAAAAUAAAGACUUUUUAAAGUAAGCCUAUAUUGUAGUAUAAAAAUAUUGAUUUAAAAUAGAUUUUAAUACCUUUUAAAUAUUAUUGAUAUAACUUUUCCUUUUAUUAUACUUUUCUUGAUUUUUUAGACAUAUGGGGGGGGGGGGGGGUUUGCAUAAUUAGAAGAACCAAUCUUUUGCUUAUUACUUUUGUUUCUUUGUAUAUCUGAAAAAAAAACAUUAACAUUAUAAAUGUCCAGUAUGUGCUUAUUUUUACAUUAUCCACCAAAAUAUCUUGUGAUUAAUUCAAGUAUUCAGUUGUGUAUAUAGAACAUGAUUUGAAAUGUUACACAUACCUCUGUUAAUAAAAUUUCCUAUUUUUGCCAUAUAGUAAAACUCAUUUAGCAUUUUUCAAACUCAAUACUGUUGUUUAUGUUGUUCUUGUGUCUAUUUGAUCACGCAGAAUGCAACUGAACUAAGUAUUUAUUUAUUUACCAUCUAUUUUUUAUAACAUGGUUAUAUAUCUAAGAGUGUUUACAAGUCGAGUCGGCAGUGUUGCCGGAUCAAUCAUAACAUGUUUCCUUUAAACAAAAAUAAAAAAGGAUUGCAGUUCUCCUAGUCUCUAUAACGCAAAGGUUUUCUCACUGUUCUACCACUGCGGGUUCGCACACUAGGAGAAGUAGAUGAUUCUUCACCUUUCUUGGCAAUGUCCUCCCUUGGAUCAUAUGCUCUUCUGUUUUCGGAAGUGGGUCUUCCGUGAUCUUGUAUGUUGUCAUCCAUGGCUGUCCCUGCUUGAGAUCCAGGAAUGCUUGGACUUUGACUUGUUGGGGCAGAAUCUUCUACACUGAACUUUCUCGGUCUAAGGUGAGACCUGUUCCUGCGGUAUUCAAACCCACUUAGUGUUUUCACCAUAUAUGAGCGUGGAGUUUCAUGCUUUGCGGUCACUGUUGCCGGAACCCAUUUUCUAUGCCUUUCCUGCAACAUGAUGUUGUCUCCUACUUCCAAAGGUCUCAAAAUUCUCUUUGGACUUCCUGCAUACUUUUGUUGAUGGUCUCUCAAUUUUUGGUAAUUCUUUGUUGUGUCAAACAGUGGUUUCAACUGUUGUCGGGUGUAUGUCGAAAGAGUUCUCACAGAUCUUCCCAUAAGCAUUUGGGUCGGAGAUGCAACUGAACUAAGUAUUUAUUUAUUUACCAUCUAUUUUUUAUAACAUGGUUAUAUAUCUAAGAGUGUUUACAAGUCGAGUCGGCAGUGUUGCCGGAUCAAUCAUAACAAAUACCUCAAACAAACAUGUUAAAAUGGUGAUACAUUUUAAUUAUGAAGCCUGACAAGAAAUUAAUUUUUAGCAUUAUUUUCUUUUAAAAUUAAUAUUGUCACGAUUUUGAAUUUUAUAAUUAAUUAUUUCUUUUUUUUCAAAGGAUUUUGUAUAUUAAUUUAAAGUCAUUUUUGUUAUCAUCAUCCCAUACAAUGUAAUUUUUAAUAUAUAUAUAAACAAACGAUAAUAAACAAAAAUAACAAUGUAAUUUGCAUCUUCAUUAUUAUAAAACAACAAAUAAAUUAUCAAUGUAAAACCAUAAAACCUUUUAACAUUUAACACCAAAACGUUACAUUAAAUUUUGGCGCAGCUACGAAAGGAUACCAUACAAAAGGCUAUGAUGCAAUAAAGGUAGAAUGGUGGCAGGGUUUAACAAAUUAAGAAAAAUUUAGCGGUGAGAAAGGUUCAAUUCGCCCUAAAUCUUGGCUUAAACUAUAUGAAUUAGAAACUAUCAAGCUAGAUGAAAGUGAAAUAAUCAAUAGUUUAAUUUAUUAUUCAUCAAAAGAUGCCUUGGUAUAUAAUGGUAUAAUUUUUUUCUUGCAUCACAGGGCCAUUUAUGUUCUUUAUAUCCCGGGUUUGUAUUAGUAGAGUUUUACUUAUAAAAGAAAUAUGUUUCAAUUAAAAGAAAAUUGAUAAGGCACAAUUUGGAUUAUAAAUUAUAAACACAAGAUAAUAAGACCAAAUAAUUUAAUAAUGUGUGACAUUUCGGUAACAGCUGUGGUAAAAUUUCUCAUUCAGUACUUUUGUCUGAAGAUGGUAACAAUGCUGUUACCGAAACGUCACAACUAUUUAUUUGGAUUUGGUCUUAUUGCCUUGUUAAUUAAACAAACAAACAAACAAAAACCUUUAUUAAGACACUAUUGUCUUACAAGGGGAUUCCCCUAAAAGGUUAUAUAUGUACAUGAGUGAGGAGGAAAAGCAAUUUAGAGGGGAAGGGGAGCAAUCAGCCGUUGUCUGUGGAUUGAGCACUUCUUCUCUCAUUUUAUCAAUCGCCUUGAAAAAUUUAAAAUAUUUAUAAACAAAUGUUUUAUCCAGCAGGAGAGCAGUAAAGAUUUUAUAUACAUGUUGUUCAUUGUAGUGAAUUAGCUCCGAAAUUUCGCGAAUUUCCAUUUUCUUUUCAUGUAGGAAUGGGCAAUGGAAAAGAUAGUGGACCAAAUUGUCUUGGAUGCCAACAUUGCAAAAGUAGCAAUUUAAAGGGUCGCUGUUCCAAAAUCCUGUGAUAUCCUCGCGGAAAGGUAGCCAUAGAAACCUUGUGAAUUAAAAUAAAAGUGUUUCAAUUAUGGUAAAAGAGUAUUUUUCAAUUCUUGUUAUUUAAAGGGUAAAAAGAGUAUUUUUGAAAAUAAAAAAUGUUGUUUUUAAAGGUUGAAAUAGUGUCAAAGGUGUCAAAUCAGAAAUUAGCCUGCUUUGAUAUAAGUGCCAGUUAUUCAAUUGACAUUUAGCGCACAUUUGAAUAGGUAAGGUAAUAAGACUAAAUUCAAACGAAUAAAUAGUGGGAUAAUAAAACCGAAUCCAAAUGAAUAAAUAGUGUGUGACAUUCUGGUAACAUUAUUGUUACCAUCUUUAGACAUCUGUAUGGUAACAAUGCGCCUACCAAAACAUCACACACUAUUCAUUUGGAUUUGGUCUUAUUAAAUUGUUUUUAAAAUAUAAAAUCCAAAUCGUGCCUAAUCAUGAAAAAUAUGCUUUUCUGAGCCUUUUCAAGUAGACCACUUUUCAACUUUGAUGAACUUUCAAGUCAUUUGCCCCUACCACAGUGUUGGAUGUUGAAAUUUUAAGCAUAAUGUAGAAUUGUUUGAAACAAUAUUUUCUACUUCAGUAGUUGAUAACUGCAAGUACUAAUGAAGCUGCUCAAUUGAAGAAACUUUUGUCAUGUUAGACUUAGAGCUUACAAUCUUAUUUCUUGAUCCAAUUUACCAGCCACAGCGUGAACUAAAUACAAUUCUUUUAUUCAACACCACCCGAGGCAUUCGAAUUUUCAGUUGAAUUAAAACCAGUGUUAAAUUAUAGUCAGUUAAAAUAAAUAAGCCUAUUAGGAUUUUAAAAAAUGAUAUAAAUAAAGUAAGUGUUGAAUUAUAUUUAGUUGAAUUGAAGAGGUUGCACUAUGUUUGUUUAGUGUAUUCAGAGAUUGUGUAUAUUUCUCAAUUUUGUUAUCAAGGAGAUUGACCUAUGUCAUAACAUAAUGGCAAGUUAAGUAAAAGACAUCUCCUUUUAGUGCAACUGAGAGUUGCUGAUAGCUGGCAGCAUCUGCUGGAAUAAAUAUCAACUAUUCUGUUGAUUUUGAUUAUUCCAGAAUUGGCCAAAUACCCAUUUUUGAUUCAUUAAGUGAAGCUAACCCUGUAUGCUUUCCAGGCUGUCAGACUUUUUGAUUUUUUUUUUAAAUAAAGAAUAGGAAUUUUUCGAAUUCCUGAUUAAUUAAAAUAUAAACAGAAUAGUGUGUAUUUUUCCCCACAGAUGAGGCAAACCAUCAGCAACUUUCAGUUGCACGAUGAAGAGAUGCCAUUUUCUUAAUUUAUCCACCAUAUCCCACACAAUUUUAUAUUUGUACAAUUUAUCCCAUUGUUUCGCUGUCUCACACACUUCUGGCCUUAACCACCUGUUUCAUGUUUUUUUAGGAUGCCUGCAUGACCAGUUAUUUGGUCGUUAUGGUACAGCUUGCACCCCGCUGAUGAGGGCAACAGCCGAAACACGUAUGUUUUUAUCUUUUCUUGAUUAAUCAAGAAUGGGUAUUUGGCCACAUCUGGAAUAAUUAACACUUUCGACCUAAGGGACGCGAAUUCACAUCAUUACCGAUUUUUCAUCAAGCCCGAAAUACAUGAAAAACUAAUUUGCAGAAGAGAAGAUUUCGCUAAUUUUAGAAUGCCCAUUUUAUUGCCCUCAGAUCACUUCUUGGUUUCUUUGCUCAUCAGGUGGAACCAUGAAACCCACGGGCACGCCGGUCUACAAACUCUCCUCGGUAUUCUGAGAGAAAACUAUUGGAUAUUAAGAUCCAGGAAAACCGUCAAGAAGAUCAUCAAUCAAUGCAUUCGCUGUAAACGAUUCACCGCGACACCAGCUACCGUCGAGUCAACAUCAUUACCAGAAGACAGAGUACGACAUGCUGCAGUUUUCGAAAUAGUAGGAGUUGAUCUAACUGGACAUCUUAUCUUAAAGAAUAAGAAGAAAGCAUGGAUUGUCAUCUUCACAUGUGCAGUGUAUAGAGGAGAUCAUCUGGAACUUGUGACAUCUUUGUCAAUGGAAGCCUUCCUCCAAGCUUUCCGCCGAUUUAUUGCUCGAAGAGGCCGACCAUUGAUUGUGUAUUCGGAUAAUGGGACUAAUUUCAAAGGCAUGGCUAAUGCUUUAAAGAAAAUUGCUUUUUCGAGAUUAAAAUGUGAUCCCACAUUGAAAAACAUCACCUGGAAAUUCAUACCGCCUAGUGCUCCUUGGUGGGGUGGAUGGUGGGAGCGUUUGAUUGGAAUGAUGAAACAAUUGCUCUUUAGGAUUCUCGGUCAAACCUCCUUGAAUAACUUUCCACGGUAAUGUGUGACGUCGAAAGCUUGAUGAACACAAGCCCACUGACCUACCUAACUGAAGAAAGUGAGGAUCUCGUUCCAUUGACACCUUCGUUGUUCUUACAUGAGGUCAGAGAGGUUGGCGUUCCA